GGAGCGGUGUCCGAGCGGCUUAAGGAGCACGAUUGGAAAUCGUGUGGGCGAAAGCCCGCGAGGGUUCGAAUCCCUCCCGCUCCG
rnacentral:tRNA from 2 species